rnacentral:misc_RNA from 1 species
AAGUCGUAACAAGGUUUCCGUAGGUGAACCUGCGGAAGGAUCAUUAACACGUAUCCAAACGUAUAAACCCCAUUAUGCGAAACACAAUCCGCGCCCUGACCGUGUCCGAGCCACUCGAUAUGGCUUGGCAGCCUGCAGUUGGGAACGGCUGCAUGGCUGGAGCUCUGUCCUGGUCCUUUUAUUAGGCCCUUGAACAUCCGCAUGGUAGGUGCUGCCUUUUUUUCCACACCAACACCUUCUCUGGUUUGACGGAAAACAAAAAAAGUCACAGGUUUACUUGUGAUUUUUCUGAGAUAUUGAACGCUGAACAACUUUUAGCAACGGAUAUCUUGGUUCUC